rnacentral:pre_miRNA from 1 species
CAGUGGGCCGUGAAAGGUAGCCUGGUGGUCCCCUUUGAGCUAAGGCUACCUUUGAUAGUCCACUGCC